rnacentral:rRNA from 1 species
UACGUAGGUGGCAAGCGUUGUCCGGAAUUAUUGGGCGUAAAGCGCGCGCAGGUGGUUUCUUAAGUCUGAUGUGAAAGCCCACGGCUCAACCGUGGAGGGUCAUUGGAAACUGGGGAACUUGAGUGCAGGAGAGAAGAGUGGAAUUCCACGUGUAGCGGUGAAAUGCGUAGAGAUGUGGAGGAACACCAGUGGCGAAGGCGACUCUUUGGCCUGUAACUGACACUGAAGCGCGAAAGCGUGGGGAGCAAACAGG